AUUGAACGCUGGCGGCAGGCCUAACACAUGCAAGUCGAGCGGGGUUUUCGGACCUAGCGGCGGACGGGUGAGUAAUGCGUAGGAAGCUGCCCGAUGGAGGGGGAUACCAGUUGGAAACGACUGUUAAUACCGCAUAAUGUCUACGGACCAAAGUGUGGGACCUUCGGGCCACAUGCUAUCGGAUGCGCCCACGUGGGAUUAGCUAGUUGGUGAGGUAAUGGCUCACCAAGGCGACGAUCUCUAGCUGGUUUGAGAGGAUGAUCAGCCACACUGGAACUGAGACACGGUCCAGACUCCUACGGGAGGCAGCAGUGGGGAAUAUUGGACAAUGGGCGCAAGCCUGAUUCAGCCAUGCCGCGUGUGUGAAGAAGGCCUUCGGGUUGUAAAGCACUUUCAGCGAGGAGGAAGGGUGGUGUGUUAAUAGCACAUCAUUUUGACGUUACUCGCAGAAGAAGCACCGGCUAACUCUGUGCCAGCCGCCGCAGUAAUAC
rnacentral:rRNA from 1 species